UACGAGGGGGGCAAGCGUUGUUCGGAAUUAUUGGGCGUAAAGGGCGCGUAGGCGGCGAUUCAAGUGACGGGUGAAAUCCCUCGGCUUAACCGAGGAACUGCCUGUCAGACUGGGUUGCUUGAGACCGGGAGAGGCGAGUGGAAUUCCCAGUGUAGCGGUGAAAUGCGUAGAUAUUGGGAGGAACACCAGUGGCGAAGGCGGCUCGCUGGACCGGAACUGACGCUGAGGCGCGAAAGCGUGGGGAGCAAACAGG
rnacentral:rRNA from 1 species